rnacentral:rRNA from 1 species
UAAAUAUUGGCCAGAGACCGAUAGCGCACAAGUAGAGUGAUCGAAAGAUGAAAAGCACUUUGAAAAGAGAGUUAAACAGCACGUGAAAUUGUUGAAAGGGAAGCGCUUGCGACCAGACUUGUGCUCGUCGAAUCAGCCGUCGCUCGUCGGCGGCGCAUUUCGGCGGGCUCAGGCCAGCAUCAGUUCGCUGUAGGGGGAGAAAGGCGGGAGGAAUGUGGCUCUUCGGGGUGUUAUAGCCUGCCGGGUAAUACCCCUCGGCGGACUGAGGACCGCGCAUCUGCAAGGAUGCUGGCGUAAUGGUUGUCAGCGACCCGUCUUGAAACACGGACCAAGGAGUCGUCCUAAUAUGCGAGUGUUCGGGUGUAAAACCCCUACGCGUAAUGAAAGUGAACGGAGGUGAGAGCUUCGGCGCAUCAUCGACCGAUCCUGAUGUUCUCGGAUGGAUUUGAGUAUGAGCAUAUUGGGCCGGACCCGAAAGAAGGUGAACUAUGCCUGUAUAGGGUAAAGCCAGAGGAAACUCUGGUGGAGGCUCGCAGCGGUUCUGACGUGCAAAUCGAUC